GUGCUUGCUUCAGCAGCACAUAUUCUAAAAUUGGAAUGAUACAGAGAAGAUUAGCAUGGCUCCCAUGCAAGGAUGACACACAAAUUCAUGAAGCGUUCCAUAUUUUG
ensembl:snRNA Gm22549 U6 spliceosomal RNA